GAGUCAGUUGUUAGCCACGUUCAAGCAAGUCAGGAUUACGUUUGCCUUGUUUUUAUUUGUUUGUUUAGUAACCUCAACAUGAUUGCUCAAACAGGUCAGAGGGUUUAUAGCACCCACUGAGCAACUCAACCCAUCCUCCUUCCCAGCGCGACGGACCAAUUCUGCACUUACCGCGUCCUGCCAGGGUCUCUGACGUUGUUCAAUAUUGUUCCUUGGAAGAUGAGAAGUUAUACCACACGUCAUCCAUUGGCGGCAAUCUAAGUGAAUCUGAUGCUAUCAUGGCUUUGAACAUGUCUACACAGGAAGAUGUAUAGAUGACUUGGAACAGAUCCUGAUCUUCAACAGAACAACUGGAAGGCAAGAACUCUGAACUACAG